AUUCGCAUUUAAAAAAUGCCUGGCUGUGCCGCAGUUAAUUGUAGUAAUCGGGUUGACAAGGGCUAUGGCUCUUCUCGUUCCCGAAGGAUAAACGUGGGACAAAAUGGGUUGACAAUAUGCGACGAGAUAAGUGGACAUCGACCACCUCUUCGCGAUUGUGUGAGGUACAUUUUGAAGAUUCCCAAUUCGAAGCCCAUCGCAUUGAUGGCUGGAGAAAACUUAAACCGAAUACAGUCCCAACGCUUUUCGAUGUGCCCAACCCCCGCCACGAAUCAACCCACCUAGACGAAAAUCACUAUACAAGAAUCGUGAUGAAAACGCAACGCAUGCUCAAGUAGCAAUAGUCGGUAGUUUUAACCGAUCGGUGCUUCAAGAAUUGAAUUCGGUUAACCAAGAGAAAGCUACUGAGGAGUCUCGCCACA